rnacentral:rRNA from 1 species
AUGGGCGAAAGCCUGACGCAGCGACGCCGCGUGGGUGAUGAAGGCCUUCGGGUCGUAAAACCCUGUCGGGUGGAACGAAUCCCCCGCGGAAUAAUACAUCGCGGGGUUGACGGUACCACCGAAGGAAGCCCCGGCUAACUACGUGCCAGCAGCCUCGGUAAUACGUAGGGGGCGAGCGUUGUUCGGAUUUACUGGGCGUAAAGAGCGCGUAGGCGGUUCGAUCAGUCGGAGGUGAAAUCCCUCGGCUCAACCGAGGACCCGCGUCCGAUACUGUCGAACUUGAGUGCAGGAGAGGAGAGCGGAAUUCCCAGUGUAGCGGUGAAAUGCGUAGAUAUUGGGAGGAACACCGGUGGCGAAGGCGGCUCUCUGGACUGCUACUGACGCUGAGGCGCGAAAGCUAGGGGAGCAAACGGGAUUAGAUACCCCGGUAGUCCUAGCCGUAAACGAUGGGCACUAGGUGUGGGAGGUAUCGACCCCUUCCGUGCCGCAGCUAACGCAUUAAGUGCCCCGCCUGGGGAGUACGGCCGCAAGGUUGAAACUCAAAGGAAUUGACGGGGGCCCGCACAAGCGGUGGAGCAUGUGGUUUAAUUCGACGCAACGCGAAGAACCUUACCAGGGCUUGACAUCCCGCGAAUCCCGCCGAAAGGCGGGAGUGCCCGCAAGGGAGCGCGGAGACAGGUGGUGCAUGGCUGUCGUCAGCUCGUGUCGUGAGAUGUUGGGUUAAGUCCCGCAACGAGCGCAACCCUCACCCCUUGUUGCCAACAGGUCAGGCUGGGCACUCUAGGGGAACUGCCCCGGUCAACGGGGAGGAAGGUGGGGACGACGUCAAGUCAUCAUGCCCCUUACGUCCUGGGCUACACACGUGCUACAAUGGCCGGUACAAAGGGAUGCAAGACCGCGAGGUGGAGCUAAACCCAAAAAGCCGGUCUAAGUUCAGAUUGGAGUCUGCAACUCGACUCCAUGAAGGAGGAAUCGCUAGUAAUCGCGCAUCAGCACGGCGCGGUGAAUACGUUCCCGGGCCUUGUACACACCGCCCGUCACACCA